rnacentral:rRNA from 1 species
AUGUCCUUUAUCACCUCAGAUGUCAUCAUUUCCGUCUGGGCACCCAUGGUGGAGAAAGUCCGGUGGAACUGCUGGUACCCCACCUAUGACAGGGCAUCUAUUGUGUUUGGUAUUUGGCGACUAGAGCAGGUGACAUUACAGAUGGCAGAGAGACAAGGACAGCUCCCUUGCUUGGAGAUUUGUGCCCACGCCAGCUCGCAUGCUUCACACAGUGAAGGGGACACCUUUGCGCAGGAGAUAGAGAAGCAUAUGAUUGCCGAGUUUUCUGUUUUGGAGCUACAUCUCAUAGCAAAUGGACAUGUUUUCGGAGCACUCAUGUUUCAUCUCUUAGGGGUGAUUCAGAUUUGUAGGUCUAUGCAGAGGCUGAAGGUUAUCCUAAAUAGAUCACAGGUGAAAGAAGAAUGCCCAUUUGGUUGUCCUUGUGAGCCUUCCUACUGGAGAUCCCAAACAAUCUCCUUGUCUGCUCUGGAGGAAGUGGAGAUCAACGGGUUCGAAGGAGAGAACCAUGAGUUUGAUUUAUUGAAACUGGUAUUCAAAUGUGCGCCACUGCUUAAAAAGAUGACAGUGAAGUUGUCACGGAAGGCCUCUGCAAGCACAAAGAUAUACAACAUCUUCAAUGCAUAUUCUUCCGUGGAAUGCAAUGUUUAUCACAACUCC